rnacentral:rRNA from 1 species
UACGUAGGGGGCAAGCGUUAUCCGGAUUUACUGGGUGUAAAGGGGGCGCAGACGGCGAUGCAAGCCAGGAGUGAAAGCCCGGGGCCCAACCCCGGGACUGCUCUUGGAACUGCGUGGCUGGAGUGCAGGAGGGGCAGGCGGAAUUCCUGGUGUAGCGGUGAAAUGCGUAGAUAUCAGGAGGAACACCAGUGGCGAAGGCGGCUUUCUGGACUGAAACUGACGCUGAGGCACGAAAGCGUGGGGAGCGAACAGG